rnacentral:rRNA from 1 species
AUUGAACGCUGGCGGCAUGCUUUACACAUGCAAGUCGAACGGUAACAGGGUGCUUGCACCGCUGACGAGUGGCGAACGGGUGAGUAAUGCGUCGGAACGUGCCGAGUAGUGGGGGAUAACGCAGCGAAAGUUGUGCUAAUACCGCAUACGUACUGAGGUAGAAAGUGGGGGACCUUCGGGCCUCACGCUAUUCGAGCGGCCGACGUCUGAUUAGCUAGUAGGUGAGGUAAAGGCUCACCUAGGCGACGAUCAGUAGCGGGUCUGAGAGGAUGACCCGCCACACUGGGACUGAGACACGGCCCAGACUCCUACGGGAGGCAGCAGUGGGGAAUUUUGGACAAUGGGCGAAAGCCUGAUCCAGCCAUGCCGCGUGUCUGAAGAAGGCCUUCGGGUUGUAAAGGACUUUUGUCGGGGAGGAAAUCCCCAGCGCUAAUACCGCUGGGGGAUGACAGUACCUGAAGAAUAAGCACCGGCUAACUACGUGCCAGCCGCCGCCGUAACAC